AAUCUAGAGUUAAGGCAUCUACCAUCUGGGCUACUAUCCGUUUUGUUGUCCCAAAGGUGAGUUGGUUCAAAAUGGUUUGGCAUAAUCUGCAGGUACCUCGGUAUGCUUUCUUCCUUUGGUUGGCUUUUCAUAACAGGAUUGUGAUUUGGCCCCUUGAGUCCUGUUGUUUGUGUAAUGGGGCAGCUGAAUCCGUUGCUCAUAUUAUUUUUUUUUGAAUGUGACACGUCUUAGCUCAUAUUAAAAACUGUUUUGGCUUAUCGUGGCUGGAUCGGGUUACCAUUCACUUGGGAGCAUAUUGUGAGUCAUAUUCGGUUUACUAGGAUGGAUUGGAUGACAUCCCGCACCAUCAAUCUAUGUUUGGCUUUGAUUGUCUACAAAAUAUGGAAUGAACGAAAUUGAAGACUCCAU
rnacentral:lncRNA from 1 species